UCACGCUGUAAACGAUGUCGAUUUGGAGGUUGUUCCCUUGAGGAGUGGCUUCCGGAGCUAACGCGUUAAAUCGACCGCUGGGGAGUACGGCCGCAAGGUUAAAACUCAAAUGAAUUGACGGGGGCCCGCACAAGCGGUGGAGCAUGUGGUUUAAUUCGAUGCAACGCGAAGAACCUUACCUACUCUUGACAUCCAGAGAAUUUAGCAGAGAUGCUUUAGUGCCUUCGGGAACUCUGAGACAGGUGCUGCAUGGCUGUCGUCAGCUCGUGUUGUGAAAUGUUGGGUUAAGUCCCGCAACGAGCGCAACCCUUAUCCUUUGUUGCCAGCACAUUAUGGUGGGAACUCAAAGGAGACUGCCGGUGAUAAACCGGAGGAAGGUGGGGAUGACGUCAAGUCAUCAUGGCCCUUACGAGUAGGGCUACACACGUGCUACAAUGGCGUAUACAAAGAGAAGCGACCUCGCGAGAGCAAGCGGAACUCAUAAAGUACGUCGUAGUCCGGAUUGGAGUCUGCAACUCGACUCCAUGAAGUCGGAAUCGCUAGUAAUCGUAGAUCAGAAUGCUACGGUGAAUACGUUCCCGGGCCUUGUACACACCGCCCGUCACACCAUGGGAGUGGGUUGCAAAAGAAGUAGGUAGCUUAACCUUCGGGAGGGCGCUUACCACUUUGUGAUUCAUGACUGGGGUGAAGUCGUAACAAGGUAACCA
rnacentral:rRNA from 1 species